rnacentral:lncRNA from 1 species
CACUUCCUCUUAGUAUCUUCAUAAAUCUCAAAUCUGUUCAUGUCAAUUCUUUCCAUAGAACCUCCAUGGGUCCCCAUAGCCAAUGGGACUAAUUCUAAGCCUCUUACCUUGGCCUUCAAGCCCCAGUCUGUCCCUGUUCUUCUUCCUAGCCACCACCUCUGUCUUUUUGGUCUUGUGGUUUCUCUAGUACCUGGCCAAUGUCACACCCCCAUGCCUUUGCUGGCCUGCUCCUCCUCCUGCUGCUCUCUCUUCCUUGCACAUCCUUCAGGGACCUGUGCUAGAGAUGCCUCCUCUGUGAGACCACACUGAAUGGUUCCUUCUGGCCCCCAUGCUGCCCUCUGCCAGAUGUGGCCAUCACUGCUGUUACAGUGUGGACCCAGGACGUUUCCAGAGGCUCACAUGUUGAAGGCUUGGUGCCCAGCACAGCAGGGUUGAGUGGGGCUUUUGGGAAGUAACUGGAUCACAAGGGGUCUGACCCAUCUGUGGAUUUGUCCUGGGUGGGUUCAUGAAUUGAUGGAUUGAUGGGCCCUCAGGAGGU